AGACCCGAAACCCGGUGAUCUAGCCAUGGGCAGGUUGAAGGUUGGGUAACACUAACUGGAGGACCGAACCGACUAAUGUUGAAAAAUUAGCGGAUGACUUGUGGCUGGGGGUGAAAGGCCAAUCAAACCGGGAGAUAGCUGGUUCUCCCCGAAAGCUAUUUAGGUAGCGCCUCGUGAAUUCAUCUCCGGGGGUAGAGCACUGUUUCGGCAAGGGGGUCAUCCCGACUUACCAACCCGAUGCAAACUGCGAAUACCGGAGAAUGUUAUCACGGGAGACACACGGCGGGUGCUAACGUCCGUCGUGAAGAGGGAAACAACCCAGACCGCCAGCUAAGGUCCCAAAGUCAUGGUUAAGUGGGAAACGAUGUGGGAAGGCCCAGACAGCCAGGAUGUUGGCUUAGAAGCAGCCAUCAUUUAAAGAAAGCGUAAUAGCUCACUGGUCGAGUCGGCCUGCGCGGAAGAUGUAACGGGGCUAAACCAUGCACCGAAGCUGCGGCAGCGACACUGUGUGUUGUUGG
rnacentral:rRNA from 1 species